GUAGGGUGCAAGCGUUGUCCGGAAUCAUUGGGCGUAAAGCGCGCGUAGGUGGUCAUGUAAGUCCGCUGUGAAAGUCAAAGGCUCAACCUUUGAAAGCCGGUGGAUACUGCAUGACUAGAGUACGGAAGAGGCGAGUGGAAUUCCUGGUGUAGCGGUGGAAUGCGCAGAUAUCAGGAGGAACACCAAUAGCGAAGGCAGCUCGCUGGGACGUUACUGACACUGAGGCGCGAAAGCGUGGGGAGCGAACAGGAUUAGAUACCCUGGUAGUCCACGCCGUAAACGAUGGAUACUAGGUGUGGGAGGUGUCGACUCCUCCCGUGCCGUCGCUAACGCACUAAGUAUCCCGCCUGGGGAGUACGGCCGCAAGGCUA
rnacentral:rRNA from 1 species